rnacentral:lncRNA from 1 species
GGUUUACGGGUCAGCCCCAAAACGACGUCGUUUUAGGGCUCUUCAGGGCACCUUGAAAUGGCAUCGUUUUAUAAGGCUAUAAAAGCCAAAUUUUUGAGAAAAAAAAUCACUUCUGCUAUCAUUUUAAAGAAAAUUUCUCAGUAGCUCUCUCACUCCCUCUCUCUUGCCCUCUGGUCGGAGCUAGAACCCGGUGACUGGGCCACCAUCAGCCACCAUCGCUGGCCACCGC